CAGUGAGGCCAACCCAUCCGAAGCUACAAAAUAGAUCACUGCACACAUCAUUUUGCAAGGCCAGCUUUGCAAAACAGAACCUGUCCUAGGAAAGGGCUUCCCCACCAAACGUGGAGAGAGAGAAUUAAAUACCGAGGAGUGGCAAUGGAACCAAAGAUAGGAGAUCUAUACCACUAUUGUGUUCAACAUAACUGGCUCGUGACCACAUCUGGAAUCUCUUAUUUGGCCCUGGGCACCAGAGUUUAUGAAGAGCAUUGAUGAGCUGGAGUGGAUCCAAAAGAAGGCAAGAAGAUGGCAUAGAGCCUUGAACUCAUUCCAUGUGAGGGACUGUUGAAGGCAUUGGUUAGGCUGGAGAAAUAAAACCUCAGGGGAAUAUGAUAACGGUUUUUCAGUAUUUGAAGGUAUGUUCUGUGUCUAGCUUCUGACCAUGGAACCUUGAGCAAGGUACUUAACCCCUCCCCUUCUAACUCAGUUUCUUCUGAAAAAAAAAAAUGAUGGAUUUGAACUAGAUGGCCACCAAAGUCCCUUCCAGUUCUAGAUAUAGAAUACCAUGAUCUUAUGGUUCUAUGCCUGGCACAGAGUACUAGCUUACUAAAUAUUUGUUGAUUGA